rnacentral:lncRNA from 1 species
UUAAAAGUAAUUUUACUUUAAAGGAUGUCUAGGAGUAGUGAGUCUGAGAAGCAAUAUAUUCUUAGGAAACUAAUGCAACAAAUUGGGAAUAUUAAAGAGAGCUUGAAUCAAGAUAGGCUUAAUAGGGAGGUGCAAACCUCAUUCAUUCAAAGUGAAAUUAGAGCCAUAAAAGAAGAACAAAAGAAACAAAGAAAAGAAUUGCUGAG